rnacentral:lncRNA from 1 species
CCUCACGGACAUUGGGGUUUAUCUGCCCCCAUUUUUUAUUCUUCAAGUCUGAAGUGUUUUUUUGGUUAAAUAGCUUUGAAAAGCUUUCGUAUGAUUGAACACGUGUCAAACUUUGUUACACGCAUAGCAAGGUGGGUAUGGUGAUUGCAUUGGGGAGGUGGGUAAUGGGGUGGGUGCGUAAUGGAUUAUGGGGUGGGUAUUGAACAAACAGAUCAGGUUUUCUUUUUUUCUUUUUUUUUAAUUCAAACUUGUGUUUAUUUGUAGAAAUUAUAGCUAUCAUUUAGUUCUGCAAAUAUGUUGCAACCCUAACGCGAUGGAGCUCGGAUUGCCAACCACCGAUUUGAUUUUUUUUUUUUAAAUGGUAGAGACGAUGGGGUUUGAUUCGAUUACUUCGGUGAAUAAAUAUGUUAUGGAAGAUUAAACUUCAGUCCAAGCCAUCACUGAGAGGAAAGUUGGUCCAGCUAAGUAGAGGAGCUUGCUAAGAGAAAGACGGUGAAAUGAGAGAGCACAGAGUUCUACGGUCUUGCAUAUUCAGAAUCAGAAAACAGAUACUGCGUUGCAGUGUUAAAUCUAAGGGUAAAUUUGUUGACCCUAAAAACUACCAAAUCUAUGUGGCGCAUAGGCUGAGUAAUUAAUAAGCUAACUAUGUCAUUCGGUUGUGUGCAGGGCGUGCCAACUCGUCGAUCGAGCUUGGCCGGGGAGUAGAAUGUAUUGCGUGGCGUUGGGCGUGCUGCUGACUUCUUAAUCUUGUGACUGUGGCCGAGGAAAGAACACGUCUCGGCCUUCGGGUUCUAGAGCCUAAAGACAAGGCUGCUAGUCUUGUGAAGUUCACAGAUCGUUGGCGCCGGGUUCGGUCACAGUGAUUAUAUUCGUAAGAAUAUAAGCACGCCGAACUGGUACCAAACUAUACGGAUACAAGUACUUAAAAGAGAUGUAUGUCUUGAUGGUGAAUGUGGUCCAGCCGUCAGAAUGCCGAACUCUAAAACUUACUUGUGAAUAUCCUAUCAUAAAACAACUCGGCGUUCAAUGUGUCGAGCCUAGUAACUUGUAACACCUCACUUCACCUAGAAGGCUAAUGAGAUGACCUCUGCCAAUAAGGAUUCGAAAAUCCUUCUCGAUCGAGACUUAGAUAGGUAACCAGUCGAUCUCGACGCAAUGUUGUUUAUCCAAACUGAAGGUGCUUCGCGGUCGGCUGAUUCUACGGCAACAAUGUUGUUUAUCCAAACUGAAGACGUUCACCGGAUGCCUUCACAGUGCUGUUUAUCCAAACUGAAGGUGUGUUGGCAAAAAAGAAAAUAAAAAUCUCAAGGUUGUUAAGAGGUUUCGCGUAGAGCGAGAGUUUGCGCAGGCAGUUUGUGUGUUGAAUUGGAGGGGGCUUAGAAUGAUGCACCCCUUCUUAUUUAUAGCAGCUAAUCUCAUCAUGGUCGAACCAGAACUAUACUCAUAUUAGGAUUCUUUAUCCUAAUGUAACCAAGUCUCGGGCAAUCCUACCUCCAUUAAGACCUUGAACCAAACUCUUUAUCCGGCCAUAUUCACUUCUCAAAUCUCAACAUUCUCACUCUAUUAAGACUCCUUAUCAUCCUAGGACUCGACUCAUUCACCCUUAUCCAGAUCAAUCCUUCUUGUAAUAGGACUCGGCCGACCUGACUGGACGGCUCAUGACCACUGGACGGCUCAUAGCAUUUUUGGAAGAGCUGUGGACCGAAUAUAAACCUACGUUUGGCCUACUAAUAUUAUUUUGGGCCUAAACAUUGCCCCCUCACUUCUGAGGUCUUCGGCCUAGAACUCCUUAGCCGAGUUUCGACCUUGAAGAUAUGAAAUCAAACCCUAAAGGUAUCUUUAA